rnacentral:rRNA from 1 species
UGGGGAAUAUUGCGCAAUGGGCGAAAGCCUGACGCAGCAACGCCGCGUGAGUGAAGAAGGCCCUUGGGUUGUAAAGCUCUUUCGGUUGGGAAGAAGGGUAAUUGUGUUAAUAGCAUAGUUAUUUGAUGGUACCAAAAGAAGAAGCACCGGCUAACUUCGUGCCAGCAGCCGCGGUAAUACGAAGGGUGCGAGCGUUGUUCGGAAUUACUGGGCGUAAAGGGUUUGUAGGCUGAAAUGUAAGUCAAGUGUGAAAUCCCCGAGCUAAACUUGGGACGUGCAUUUGAAACUGUGUUUCUUGAGUAUCGUAGAGGGUGGUGGAAUUGCAGGUGUAGGAGUGACAUCCGUAGAGAUCUGCAGGAACAUCAGAGGCGAAGGCGACCACCUGGCCGAUUACUGACGCUGAGGAACGAAAGCGUGGGGAGCAAACA